rnacentral:rRNA from 1 species
UACAGAGGGUGCAAGCGUUGUUCGGAAUUAUUGGGCGUAAAGCGCGUGUAGGCGGCUAGGUAAGUCGGGUGUGAAAUCCCUCAGCUUAACUGAGGAAGUGCGCUCGAAACUACUUAGCUUGAGUACCGGAGAGGGUGGCGGAAUUCCCCAAGUAGAGGUGAAAUUCGUAGAUAUGGGGAGGAACACCGGUGGCGAAGGCGGCCACCUGGACGGAUACUGACGCUGAGACGCGAAAGCGUGGGUAGCAAACAGGAUUAGAUACCCUGGUAGUCCACGCCGUAAACGAUGAGAACUAGGUGUCGUGGGUGUUGACCCCCGCGGUGCCGUAGCUAACGCAUUAAGUUCUCCGCCUGGGAAGUACGGCCGCAAGGCUA